CAAUAGCUACUUGCAUCGUUGUAAAGAUGAUGCAAGAUUGACUAUGUCGAAUAAAAUUCUAGGUAGAAUUAUGAUAAUGACAUUGUCUGCCUAUGUGUCUUGACCAAAUUACGUGCCAGCAGUCGCGGUAAUACGUAGAAGACUAGUGUUAUUCAUGUUUAAUCGGUUUAAAGGGUACCUAGACGGUAAAUCAAGCUUUCAAAGAAAUAGAGUUAAAGGACUAAUUUACUAGAGUUACUUAUGAGGGGGUAUUAAAGUACUGCUGGUGUAGAGAUGAAAUUCUGUCAUACCUCUUUUCAAAAGAAAAAUGAUGGCACAGGUAUAGGCGAAGGCAUCCCCUUAUGUGAUAACUGACGUUGAGGGACGAAGGCUUUGUGUAGCGAACAGGAUUAGAUACCCCAGUAGUCGAAGCAGAAAAUGAUGAAUGUCAUAGAUUAGAGGUAAGUUUAUUCUAUAAAUGAAAGUGUAAGCAUUCCACCUCAUGAGUAAUUUGGCAACAUUGGAACUGAAAUCAUUAGACCGUUUCUGAAACCAGUAGUGAAGUAUGUUGUUUAAUUUGAUGAUCCGCAAAAAACCUUACCACAAUUUGAAUAUUUAUAUUUUUUUUUUAUUGUUUUCUUAUUAAUUUUCUUCUAACAACAAGAUGUAGAAAACUAUGAAAAAAAAAGAAGAAAGUUAAUAAAGAGGCAAUAAG
rnacentral:rRNA from 1 species